rnacentral:rRNA from 1 species
CCUACGGGAGGCAGCAGUGGGGAAUAUUGGACAAUGGGCGCAAGCCUGAUCCAGCCAUACCGCGUGGGUGAAGAAGGCCUUCGGGUUGUAAAGCCCUUUUGUUGGGAAAGAAAUCCAGCCGGCUAAUACCUGGUUGGGAUGACGGUACCCAAAGAAUAAGCACCGGCUAACUUCGUGCCAGCAGCCGCGGUAAUA